AGGGGCCAAGAUGAUGGCAAAAUUGGUAUCAUAGCAGUCAGGUUUAUCCUACUGUGAUGGCUCAGCUAUACAUGUGAAUCGUCCUAUGGCUCCCUGAGGGUUAAAGCCAAGGUGUUGCAUCCAUGUAUACGUUUCCCUCGGAGUAAAAGUACCGUAGGCUUCGGUCUGGUAAUAUAGCUGAGGGGCCAAGAUGAUGGCGAAAUUGUCGUCUUUAUUAUGUGAAUUGUUGUAUUAUCGUGUUAAGGUAUAUGUGAAUGUAUAAGGUGAAGGUGCUCAUGUGAGGUUAUAUGAUUUUGUAUUUGUGCUAUAAGGAUAUGAUUGAAAGCACUUCUUCACAAAUUCUUGAUAUAUGAUUAUGAAGGACUAAGAAGAGUCUUUAUAGAAAGGUGUUGUAUCUUUUUUGGUAUACUUAGUUGUCCCUAAUUGGUACUUCAAUUGUAUUGAAUGAGUGCAUGAAUGUAUGUCUAGGAUCAGUAGACCUAAAGUAUGUACCCUUCUAUGAAAAACUAAUGUGAAACCAUGAAUAUGAAAAGAAUAUUAAGAAUGUAAAAAUCUUCAAUAUUAAAUAAAGGUUAAUAGAGAAGCCUUGAAGUGGUAGACCGAAAUGGUGUCUUCUUCUUGAGUGGAAUGAUGGACAUUGAGGUAGGUUUGAUGGAACAAUAUAAAACCAUCUCCAAGAAAUUCAUAAGAGUUAUCCAAAUGAACCUUGAUCAACAGCCCUUGUAGAUACCCUUCUUGGAAAUGGUAUUAUGAUUCGGUAGGGCUUAGUGAUGGUACAAUCUCUAAUACACUUAUAUGAUUGAACAUAAUCGAUGAGAACCAAGGCAAAGCACCGAAUGGAUAUGCUUAUGGGAGUAGCUCUAGUUGGGUAUGAGGCUAGAGCACAAAUAAUCCUUUUAUAUCCCCUAAACCAUGUGCCAACAUUGGAUGUGUCCUAAUUCUACCCUUCGUAAGUAGAACACCUUCCACGGUGUGUGGUUUUGAUGACAUCGAAUUCCAUACCUAGAUAGUGUGGUCUAUGUUGAUUAGUUCCUAUUCUCAUCAUGUGGGAUGUACAUUUUAGCUAUUGGAUAGGUUCUUAAAAGUAUACAGAAUGGGAUGGGAAACUAUCUACACAUGGCACGAGUACGCUUUCAUAAUGCUAUAGUUAGUUCCCGAGUUCUUUCAAGACCAUUAUGUGAAGUCUCCUAUUUGUUUCGUUUUCUCCUAAAGUUACGAAAUGAAAAGUUCUUACCUAGGAUUUCUUGAAGAACACUUAGGUAUGUAUUGAAUAGGUUGUAUGGGUGGUAUCUUCAUGUAUUACCUAGGUAGGUCUUAGCGUAACCUUAGAUACAUGGUCUAAAUGGCUAAUGGGUUACUUAAUUAUUGUGGUCUUACCUUAUAUGUGAAUAUUGUCUUGAAGAUGUUUCUUAUACUUGUCAUAUGAGAUUUUUAUCAAAAUAGUAUGAAAAACAUAUUUCAACUAUAUAAAGUGUACCUUUUUGCAUGGUUUUCUUGCAUGUUUACCAUACAUAAUGCAUUAAUUUUGCUAAUUCCAUAUGUUUCACUACGUCUUUAAAUUUAGGCGGUGGCAAGUGAGUAUUCCUAGAGUUGAAGCUUGUAAAGUAGAUUUCUCUCAAGAUUGGUACGUCCUCAUAUGUUCGGGGACAUGUAUUUUGUUCUAGUUUCCUUUCAUUAAAGUCUUUGUAUUAGAGUAUAAGUUUUAAAUUAAUGUAAGGUUCAUGACCCUUAUUUUAUAUUGUUAAUGUUUUAGUCUAUCAUGGCUUAUGAUGAGACUUAGCCUUUUUCUUAUGUUUUAUAAAAGACUUUUGUUAUUGACUUUAUUUGUCAAAAGUUAUAAAUUCCGCAAUACUUUUCAUACUUAUAUAAUGAUUGAAUGCUAAGAGGCUUGUAUAACAACUCCAAGAGGUCAAGUACGCCGUGUGGUGACUUGGAUGUGUUCCUGGGUUGUAAGAAGAUUGGUAUCAGAGCAUAAAGUUAUGAUAAAGUAUCUAGUGUUCAAAAGACUCAUGCGUCCAUAUCUACUAAAUUAUUUUUCAUCUGUGUGAGUCGCAGCAUAUCUAUGAGUAGGAGGAUAUUGGAUGAUAGAAUUUUCAUUUUAUUCAUGUAGGACCCAGAAAAUGAACUAGGUGAAUCUAGAGCCUAAUGUUAUUUUCAUGAUGGUCUAAGGUCCUAAAAUGGUUUAUAAGGUGGUUUUGAGACAGUGUGUAAGAUUUUAGGUGCAUUGAAGUCAAACGUCAAGGGACGACCAAGACGUUCGACAACUAAGUCACCUAUAUACCUAAUUUAGUAUUUAAUGAGUUAAUGAGGUCAUUGUAUGAUUUAUUAAAGUGUUUACAGGCAAUGUGUAAAGUUUCGUGAAGUUUGGAGAUCAAAUGUCCAUGAUGUUUGAAAGGCUUGCCUUGAAAUGACCUUUUGUGCCAAUGAAUGGUUCGUCGAGUUUUACAUGUUCGUUUUGAAUGAAACUCAUGCGAGGGGUCGUGAACUCGUACAAGAACAUAUUUGGGUUGGAAACGGCUGUGUAAGACUCCAUUUAGAACUGACAAGGGGCCCUAAAGGAAGACCCCAACUUUAGACUUGAAGUUGCAUGGCAGCUUGCCUAAAGUGCCAAAAAUUGACCCAAACGACAGCUAGUCGAUGGAACGAUCGCUCUUUGACUUGGGGGGUCGAUGGAGCCUUCAAUUCUGAAGCUGGAAAGGCUGCAAGAGAAAACUACGAGAGACCAUAGACAGGGCGAGGGUUAGACCACGGACCGUCAAUGACACUGUCCCUGCGCAGCUUCAAUGUUAAGUGAAGGGUGAUAGUGUAAAUUCACCCCACGUUCCAAUAAGACAUCGGACGGUUGUUUUGAGUGUUUAUUGAUAUUUUAAGAGUAUUUGAGUCAUUAAACUCUUAUUUAAACCCUAGCACAUAAUCAAAACCCAUUCCCUGCCAAAGUUUCUUCCAAAACCUCCACGAGAGAUCAAGGUAAAGAGGGAGCUUGAAGAUGAAUCUUCAAUGGAUUUUAUUCUCUAAAAUCUAUUGGAUUCUUCUAAUAUGGUAUGUAUUUCUUCAUUUAAGGUUUUUUAUAACCUUAGAGCCAAUUUAAAAGAUGAUUUUCAAACAUUUCAAAAAGAUGAAAACUCCAAUUUCUACUCUAAGUCUUGGGUUCUUGUAUAAAUGAUUUUAAAACACUAAUAUAUGAUAAUAUUGAUGUUUAAUUAAUGUUUUCCAACAAAAUUCUCCACGAACCAUUGACCUUGUCAAAUCGUUCAAUUUGAUAUGGGUUAUGAGAUCAUGCUUUGAUAUUGAUGAAUUCAUAUGUUGAUUGUUAUGGGCUCUUGAUUUAUGUAUAGAUAAUGAUUUAUUGGGUUAUAGGAUGUUUGAAUUUGAUCAAUUGAGUAUUUUAUAUUCUUAAAUCUUUUCACUAUUAAGCUUAUUGAAUUAAUAUUUACUUAAUGCUUAUCAAUUAUUGUAUAGUUUUCUAUGGGCAAUGGAAUAAUGUAAGAAUUGUAUUCAAUUGAUGACUAAUUGGUCUUAUAUUGAUAAAUAUAUAUUAAAUUGACUUAUAUUCAUUGAUUAUUAUGGUUUAUGUAUUGAAAUGAUGUUCACGGACAUGAGUAAGGGUCUAUUGGUAUUGAAUGAAGGUUUAGAUUUGCAUUGAAGAGGUGUGAUUGAAUGGGUGGUAUGCUGCCCUAAUUCCCUUUAUGUUAUGUUAAUUAGACUUCAAUAAUGUUGUUAUUGGUAAGGUCCACUUAUGGUGGAGGUGCAAUGUGAAUUCAUGUGGCCUUGUCAGCGUUACUUUAUGCAAUAUGAUUAUCAUGGCCUUGUCGGCACUACUUGAAGUAUAAUGGUGAUUUAUGUAAUUUAUUUAUGUGAUGUAUGAGCAUAUCUAUCUAUAUGUCAAGUAAUGUGAGAAUAUUUUUUCUUUAUAUGUAUGUUAGGAAAUCAUGUAAACUAUGUCUAUGUGCUUAUAUGUGUAGUCUUAGGGGUUAUGCAUGGUUGUUCCUACUUCACUAUAUGAGUUUUUAAUCGUUAUAUUGAUGAUGAUAUGAUUGUAUACAGGAUGUUUUAAAGAUGGUAAUAGUUAUUCCUAACUGACUUAAAGAAUGACAUGUAAUAUGUGUUAAAGUGAAAAAUGGUGUGGCUUGUAUUGGUUGACUUGUGUCCCUUACUUGAUGCACGUGUGAAUGUGACUAUGAGAUCUCUUUACUUAGGAUGUGAAAGACUCUUAGUCUUGUAUGUAUGAAUGACAUGUGACCUUAAAUGAUGUUUAGAGGGUCUUCAUGUGAAACGUUAAACCUAGUGGUAAGGUUAUGAAUGUUAAAGUCGAAAGUCAUAAUGGUAUCCUUAAACUAAAGAAAUGAUGGAGUUAAGGUUGAUUAGCUGGAACAACAUCAUAUCGAUCAUUAGGAGAGUCAUGAUGAGAUUCUUUUUGCCAUUGAAAGGAAGCCCUAGUGGACCUUUCUUUUGUAGGGUAAAUGUUAUUAGAUUAUGAACUUGAUAUAGAACCCCUGUAUAUGAACAUUAAAUGAAAAUUACUCAAUGAGAAGAAAGGCUAGCACCGAGUGAGUAUGGUAGGGAUAGUAGUUUUAGUUAAAGGAUGAGACUAGAAUACAAUACACGUCCACCAUUUUCCUUAGCCAUGUGCCUAUAUGGAAUGUGUCCAAGUUCUACCAUUGUCAAGUAGAACACCCUCACAGGAGUAGGUUAGAACUCUGGAUUCCAUGCUUUGCUACCAUGGUCUAUGUUAGUUAUUGCAUAUUCUCAUCAUAUGGGAUACUUACUAGCAUUAGAGAAGUUCUAUGAUGUUUAGGUGGUGGUAUUGGACACUAUUUAUUCAUGGCACAAUAGGCUUUGAAGGUGUUAAAUAGAGUCCCUAGGUCUUGUCCAAGACCAUUACUUGAAUUUUCGUAUGUGAUAAAAGAGUCUUACAUGAACUAAUGAAUGUAAUGACUUAAUUUAAGAAAGUAUGUUUAAUGAAAUAAGUACCUAUCUAUAGUAGUUAAGGCGUAUUUACAUAAUGUGUGAAGGGGGCAUAGGAAUGGUUAGUUGUUAUCUUACCUAGAUAAGUCUUAAGAAUAACUCUAGUUAGGGAAUACAUUUGAUUUUGUGGACAUGAUCCAAGCUUAGGAAUUCUGAAAUAUUACUUAGGCAAUCUUGAAGAGGUCAAUCAUGGACGUUAUCUUCUUGAUUUACUUAAGUAAGUGUUUCGAUAACCUUUAUAGGGGAGAAUGUCAUAUUAUAUGUAUGCUAAUGUAUAAUGUGAGAAUGAUUCUAUAUUAGGUAGUCUAUUGGAUCUCUUAAGUGUGUAUGUAAGGGAUUGUAGGGGUGGUCGUUUCAUUACUCACUCAAGUGAACCUUAGAAUCACCUUAGGUAGAAGGAUCUCAUGUUCAUGUGAUUAAUGUGUUUGUAAGUGUGUAUAUCUCAUUAUAAGUAGUCCUAAGGAUCAUUUAGGUGUGCCUAGAGAGGGAUUAUGGGCGGUCUCUGUUUUUCUUACUUAAGUGAGUCUUAGGAUAGCUUUUAGUGAGAAGAUUGCAUGUUAAAUGGGUUUCGCUAUAAAGUUAAAAUUGAUUCAUUGUAACUUGGCUAGGUUUACUGUAAUGUUCCUUAAAAAUGUGACUACUUGCUUAAAUGAUUUUUUAAGUGUUUCUAAGUUGUUAAAUGUGGUUCUUUUUAUUAUAUUAUGAUAUUUUAAUCAAAAUUCAUGAAAAGCAUGUUAUUUACUAAAUGACCCUUUUUCAUGGUUUUUGCAUGGCUUCCAUACUUAGUAAAUCUAAUUUGCUAACCCUUUUUUUCCUUUCUUUACAAAAGUUUAGGGAAUUGGACGCCUUGAUAUGCCGUGGAGGAUUGAUAGAUUUCUAUGGGUAGAAGAUGAAGUAUUGGUGAGUCCUCAUCAAUUCGAGGACAUUAUCCAUGUGUUCCUUUAUGUCUUAGUUUUUAUUUUAUUGUCUGGUAUGGGCUUAGACCCAAGUGUUGUAUACUCAAAAAUUUACAUGUUUCAAAGAGAUGUUGUAAAGGCUUAAUGUUUUCUAUGAAAGUCAUCCGCUUGCGUAUUAGUUAUGUAAAUAGUUCUUCUUGUGUGAAGCAAGUUUUAGAUUCUUACUUAUUUUAUAAGUUUAUUAUGCAGAUAUGAGUGGCUUAGAUGAGACUUCUUGAAAUCUAAUUUGAUGUGUGAAAACACAAGUAUGCACUACUUCUAGGGUGUACGUGUGGGUCAUUACUAGUCGUUACUUGGUUUGAGCAUAGAAUUGAGUUUUAUAAGUGUCUUUUCUGAAUCUAUUCUCGUGUUUAUAGGAUAUGAAUACAAGGAGGUCAAACGUAAGAUGAGUGGAGGAAGUUUUGGUGAAUGAGGGAGUUUCUUCCCAUGGUGAACAAGUUCCCCAAGGCAUCAAGCCCUUCAAGGUGAACAAGUCCCUAUAGCUAAUGAAGGGAAUGAGAUUCCGGUGGUUUCCCCGGACAUGAAUAAUGAGGAGGUUAAAGGAGCUCUUAUAUCCCUAGCUCGAGCUAUGGCGACUCAAUAAAAUAGAGAUGUGGGGCCUAAGGUUAAUUCUCUUGAGAGUAUCGUGACCUCUAGGUUGAGGGACUUUGUGAGGAUUAAUCCUCCUACCUUUAUUAGUUAUAAGAGAGGAGAGGAUCCAUAAGAGUUUUAAAAUGGUGUUUAUAAGGUAUUGAAUAUUAUCGGGGUGACUUUUAAUAAGAAGGCAGAGUUGGCUUUGUACCAAUUGAGGGAAGUUUCUCCAGUGUGGUAAAACCAAUAGAAAGACAAUAGGACAGUUGAAUCAGAUUCUAUAGAAUGAGAAGAGUUUAACAAAGCAUUCUUAGGAAUGUAUUUUCCCCUGAGAUGAGAGCAAUUACGGUUGAGGAAUUUAUUAACCUUAGCAAAGAAAACAUGAUAUCUUUGAGUAUGCUUGAAAUUUACCCUAUUAUCUAUGAUACUCCAUCUUUGGUGUGUAUCCAUAGGGAUGAGAUGAGUAGGUUGUAACCGGUGUUGCUGACCUUGUGAAAGAAGAGUCACAUAAUGACAUGACCCUAUCUAGGCUUAUCGAGGAUGCUCAAUCCAUUGAGGAGUCUAAUCUCGAAUGGAAGGGUACAGGUCUUAAGAGAAGAAGAACCGAUGAGCAAAAUAAACCUAGGUUAAGAAGAGAGUACCAAACUAAGAUAUCCCUAUUGCUCCUAAGGUAAACUAUGAGAGAGGUGGUGAUUUCAAAAUGUUAAGCUUACUUGCUCUACUUUUGUAAAGAAUCAUUUUGGGAAGUGUCUAUCUGGUACUAGUAGGUGUUAUGGAUUGAAAAGAAUGAUCACAAGGUGAGAUAUUUUCCUACUAUUACUACUAGAGAAAGAUAUUUCAAGAAAGAUCCUUAUAAUGGUCCGGAUAAGGGUGAACAAAUGAAGACUCAAUUCUAUGCUCUCCAAGCUAACAAAGAAGCAAAUCCGGAUGAAAAUUCUGGUAAGUUAUAAUUUACCCUUUAUGUUGUUUAUAAUAGAGUUGAUGGGAUUUUUACAACGUGGGGAGUAUGGUGAAUAGUUGGAUUGACGGAUUUUGUCUCUUCUCUUGUAUUUUAUUAAAGCUUGAGAUUUAGAAUUCCUUUGUAGCAUGAUACAUGUUUUUAGAGUUUCUAGAGAAAAUGAGUUUUCAUGAUGCCCUAUGGUUUUGCAUAUUUUUCAUGAGAUUAUGGUUACGUGGUAAAAUGAGCUUUAUUGACUUUAUAUUUCAUAUUGUUAUGCAUCUUUAGUAAAUUGCCUAAAUAUUGCAUGAGUAGAAUUAUGAGCAUGUUUACAAGUGAAUUUUAGCAAAUGUUGCAUAAUUGUUCUUUUUUGAGAAAUUUGCAUGAUAUGUUCAUAAACAUUGUGAUGACAAUAAUGAAAUGUGGAGAAGGAAGUUCCUCCAACAUGAAAUGAUAAAAUGUGGUGUCUUAUUACAUGAUAGUCAUAGAUGUUUUUCCUACUUUCUUGUUGUGUUUUCAGUCUCUUGUAUGUGGAUUUCAUAUUCCUCCUAGCUAUAUGUAUUUCUUUUUUGAUGUGGUAUGGUUGUGAUAUGCUAAUCAUGAGUUUUAGAACCUUGAAAGUGUUUAAAGUAUUUUAGUGUCAUUCCAAGACAAAUGUUUUCCAAGUGGGGGAGAUUGUUAUAACCCUCAAAAUUAAAUAGGGUUAACUGGAGCCUCCCAUAGGAUUGAUGAGUUAAAAAUCGUUUAAAUAAUUAAUAAUAGCUUUAUAAGUAAGUUUUAAAGAGUUCUGAAGUUGAACGUGAAGGGAUGACCAAGACGUUGGAAACUAGUCUUUUACGUGCUACUGUGUCCUUGUUCUUUGUAUGUGUUAUUAUGUGUUAAUUGGUGUCUAAAAAUAGUGGGGAUGACCAAACACAUUAAGGUAAAUGUUAAGGGUCAAAACUCCAAGGAACGACUCCUCAAGGACCAACCAAACGGUCUUUGAAGAGGACCCAAGCCUUGGCCAAAGUGUUGCCAAGGAAACGCGUGGGCAGAACCUUGUGGGAGUGUCUCUGUGCCGCGGACAUGAUCCUCCAAGGACAAAAAAUAUGGACCGAAUCACGGACAAUUUUCCCAAAAUUAAUGCCCGGAAACAUAUGGAAAAACCUCCGCGACGUGGACUUUUUCCCCGAAGAUAAUUCUGAAAAUAGAAGUGAUAUUUGGCUUGUUCAAAAAGGUCCAAUUAAUGUAGGGGUGAUUUGCGUAUUUUAGGGGGGGUGUUAUGUAUUGAUUUUAGGUCAUUAUACACCCAUUUCAAUAAUUAAAAAAAUUAUCCCUCAAUUAGAAUUAAAAAUUAUAUAUGCGCUCCCUUCUUUCUAAGUUGUCUCUGUAGUUAAAUCUUCCAUUGAAGAGCCUUCAAUUUCAAAUGAAGAAGGUCAAAUUCACAAAGAUUUCAACCCUAAUCUAUGUAUAGAACUUUGAUAAGGUAUGGUGAUUUCAUUCUUGCUUCUUCUAUCAUUCAAGGAGCCAAUUUCAAAGGAUUUUAAAAAUAUCUCAAAAGCCCUAUUUCAAAAUCUAAACAUGGGUUCUUGCAUGAAAAGGUUUAAAUUAAUAUUUAUGAAGAAUUAAAUUUUUAUUUAUGCUGUUAUGAUAAAAAUUUCCAUGGACCCAUGUAUUCCUCGUGGGUAUAUUGAUUAUGAUCUAAUUAUGUUGAACUCAUGUUUAGAUUUUUAUUGGCUAUUGGAUACCAUGUUGAUCAUUGUUUUAAUUGUUCAUAGUUGGGUUUUGUUUAAUCACUGGCCUGAAUAAUUGGUGGUCUUAGCCUUAUGGGCAUUGUAAUUGGUAAGUUCUCUUGUUGUGUGGAGUUGUUAGAGAUGUUAAGGAACGGUGAUUGUGUCUAUUUAGAGGUGGUAGUCUACCUCAUUUUCUUAUUCAGUGUAUAAUUAGUAUAGAAUUUCUAUUAAUUUUUAUGGACCACUUAUGGUGGAGGGGUUUAAUUGUUAUAAAUGUUAUGAACAUGGCCUUCUCAACAUUAUUAUGUGAAUAAUGGUUUUAUCAUGUUGUGGUAUAUGUGAAUGUAUAAGUUGAAGGUGCUCAUUUAAAGUUUAUAUUAUCUUGUAUUGUUGCAAUAAGUAUAUGACUGAAAUAACUUCUUCUAUAAUUGUUUAUACGAGAUGAUGAAGGACUAAGAAGAGUCUUUAAAAAAUGAUCUUGUAUAUUGUUUUGGUAGACUUAGGUUUCCCUACUUGGUACCUCAAUUGUAUUGAAUGAGUGUGUGAAUUGAAGUCUAGGAUGGGUAGACCUAAAGUAGGUACCCUUCUAUGAAAAACUAAUGUUAAACCUUAAAUAUGAAAAGAAUGUUAAUAAAGAAGACUUGAAGUGGUACACCAAAAUGGUGCCUUCUUCUUAUGUGGAAUGAUGGGCUUAGGGGUAGGUUUGGUGGAAUGACAUGAAGCCAUCUCUAAGAAAUUCAUUAGAGCUACCAAAAUAAAUCUUGAUUGGAAUCCCUUGCGGGCUCCUUCUUGAAAAUGGUGUUAUGUGUAGGUAAGGAUUAUUGAUAGUACCUUCUCUAAGACACUUAUGUGAACGAACUUAUUCUAACAUAACAAACAAAAAGCAUUGAGUGUAUAUGAAUAAGGGAGUAGCUCUAGUUGCGUAUGAGGCUAGAGUAAAAAUAAACCUUUUGAUAUUCCCUAAACCAUGUGCCAAAUGGGAUGUGUCCUAAUUCUACCCAUGUCUAGUCGAACACCUUCCAGGGUGAGGGUUUUUGAUGACAAUGAUCCCAUACUAGGCAAGUGUGGUCUAUGUCGGUUAAUGUUUAUUCUCAUUAUGUGGGUUGUAUAUUUUAUCCAUUUGAUAGGUUCUGCAACGUGUAGGUAGUGGAAUGGGAUGAUAUCUAUACUUGGAACGAGUAAUCUUUGAAGAUGUUAGGGUAAGUUUCCUAGGUCUUGCAAAACCAUUUUGUGAAUUUCCCUGUUUGUUUAGUUGUCUACUAAAUGUCUUAAUUGGAUAAUGUUCAUUUAGUCAAGGUUUUAGAGUUAGAAAGGUUCUUAACUAGGAUUGCUUGAGAAACACUUAAGUGUGUAGUGAAGAGGUUGUAUGGGUUGUCUCUUCAUGUGUUACCUAGGUGGGUCUUACGAUAAUCUUAGGUAGAGGAUAUAAAUGGAUAAAUGGGUUAGUUAAUGAUUGUGGUCUUACGUUAUAUGUGAAAAUUGACUUGAAGAUGUUUUUUAUACUUGUCGUAUGAGAUUUUUAUCAAAAUAGCAUAAAAAUCAUAUUUCAACUAAAAUAUCCCUUUUUUAUAGUUUUGUUGCGUGUUCUCGUACUUAGUGCAUUAAUCGAUCUAAUUCAAUAUAUUUCACUAUGUCUACAGAUAUAGGUUGUUGCAAGUGAGGAUUCUUAGGGUUCAAGCUUAGGAAGUAGAUUUGUCUCAAGAUUUGUAUGCCCUCAUAUGUUCGAGGACAUUGACUUUGUUUCUAACUUCCAUUCAUUAAAGACUUUGUGUUAGACUAUAAUUUUCAAAUAAAUGUAAGGGUUAUGACCCUAAUUUUAUAUUCUUAAUGAUCGAGUCUAUGAUGGCUUCGGAUGAGACCUACUUAUUCUUAUGUUUUAUAAAGCAGUUUCCUUAUUUAUGAAACGUUUUAAAUUUUGCACUACUUUUCAUACGUAUGUAAUGCAUGAAUGCUAAGAGGCUUGUAUAAUACCUCUGAGAGGUUGAGUACGCCUUGUGGAGACUUGGGGGUGCUCCUGGUCGUAUCUAUUGUUGGCACUUAUCAUGAUUUACUGCGUUAUCUGACGGCAAAGAAGGUUACCAAGCUAAGAUUCACUUUAAGGUAAACCAAAGUGGACUCAAAUACUAUCGCUUUCCACUCAUAAACCAUAUUAUUCAUUAAUAGAAAACACAUUAUAAGCCAUAAACCUCAUAUAAUUACCAUCAUCUAAUCCAACUCUAAGUCACACUAGUGCAAUGUGCAAGUAGCAUCUCAUCUACCCAAAACUUUUUCUUGUCCAUUCUUUCAAAAUCUCCAUUCGAAGCAAACACAUCAAAAAUACAAACAGACAACGGAAAUAAGAGAGACAUUUUAUACAUUUAAGCUCUAUGGAACGAUACAAGAGUAAUAAAGAAAGUGAAACCUAUAUCGCCUUAUAGCCUCCCACUAAUGGAUGUGUCGUGACUCAUACCGAUAAACAUGACUCUAUUCACAUAGAUUGUGGGACUUUUGACUUUUAACGUUCGCGACGUACCCCUAGACGUUACCGCUAUACCUGACCUCAAAGAGGUCUCGUACGAGCCUCUUACCAUAAUUGUCCUGGAAUUAUGAACUAGUAAUAAUGCGAUAAUUUUAAGCUUUUAUAUAUAGUGAAGUAUACUUAUACAUCUCAUAUAAUGUAUGUGGAGUUUACAUACACUCCUCGAUUAUGCAGUUUACUUAAACUUCUCAUAGAAAUAUAAGGGAUUCAUGAUCAUAUUCUAAUGUUGUCUCAGAACACCAUCUAUUUAUAAGAGUUCAACACAAGUCUACAAAUAGGGUCCUUAGUCCUUUAGAUACAAUAGUCUAUUGGAACAAAAGUACAUAAGAGGAGAUUACUAAGUCUAUUACUAAAUGUCAACUAGUGCAUAUGUCAUUAAAUCUUUGAGGACCUAACACAAUAUCUUGGUGAAUAGAAGUCUAAACUGUAUUCAAGGAUGUACAAAAAAUACAAUUAGCUGGAACCUAUACUCAGAAUAUAAAAGGGAGAAACGGGUUUGUACAAUUAACGCACUAAGUAUGGAGAAAUGGAUAUAAAUCAUUAAAACGCGAGAAAGGGACAUUUACAUGAGUAUUCAUGUAUAAGGUUUUCGAAAGCCAUUUAUAUCAUCAAGAUAGCAUAUAAUAUAUAUCUAAAAAUGUCCAAUAUACAAUAGAGGCAUGACCUUAACACUUCCUAUGUUCCACUUGUUCUAUGUAGAGUUAGCAUCCCCUACUGCCAACCCUAUCAAGCAGUCCCGUAGAAACCACCUUGGCAACACAUAUUAUAAUUACAUUCAACACAUACAAAUAAUCAUAGGAAAGGUUCUAAUCCUUAGCUAACCCUUGAAUAGGAAGAAUGACAUAGAGUCGCCAAUGCACUUAUUAAGCAUCGAGACAUGACAUACCCGAUAAAUCGAAUUUCUUUCACUCGGUAGUUUCAACUCAUAAGCAACCUUUCUAACCCAUUGCAGAACAUCAUUAGAACACAAAUACCAGGGACUUCGAUUCCUUUUUUUACCAAAUCUUAUCAACUCUUUCAGAGGUGAAAUAUGUAAAUACACCAUUUCACCUACUUAGAAUUAGAGAUAUUUUGUUCUAUUGUCAGCAUAGUAUUUUUGCCAACUAUUGGCUGUUUUCAACCUAUCCAUUAUCUUCUGAACCUUCUCUAAUCUUUCAUUAAUUAUUUCAGGACAAAGGAGUGAUGACUCACAAACAUCAAACACAAACCGAAGACCAACAAUGUAUACUAUAGAGUGCUUCAACAAGUGCCAUUUAAAUACUCGAAUGGUAGCCAUUAUCAUUGAUUAACACAAUCAACGGUAGUUGAUCGUCUCAAUUUCCCUUGAAAUCUAUCACACAAUAUCUUAAUAUAUCCUAUAGGGUUUGAAAGGUAUGCUCCUCAUAAUCAUCCUUUUGAAAAUGAAAAGUGGUGCUAAGCUUCCCUUCUGUACUUAACCAUUUCAUAAAAGGCCUCUAAAAAUGAGAAGUAAAUUGCGCACCUCUAUUCAAUAUGAUAGAAAAAGGGAUUCCAUGGGGACUUACAAUCUCAUGAAUGUAUAUUUUGGCAUAAUUAUCCCCUGAAUAAGUAGACUUGACGGGGAUAAAGUUACAAGAUUUUUUUUACCUACCCACGACAACCCAAAUUGAGUCAUUUUACUUCCAAGUUCGAGGCAACGCAAUAACGAAGCCCAUAUUAACAUCUUCUCACUUCCAAAGAAGGAACUUCCAUUACUUAGAUUAGACCUCCAUAUCUUUGAUGCUCGGCCUUUAAUUCUUGGAGACCUAGCCACAAACUUCGCCACAUCCUUCUUUAAACCAUCCCACCAGUAGAUCUUUUGAAGAUCACUAUAUAUUUUGGUGGCACCCAGAUGAAUAGAAUAUCGGGAACCAUGGUCUUCUUCAAAAAUGUAUUUUCUGAAGAUAUCAACAUUCCUUAUACACAACUUACUUUGGUACCUAAUCAUACAAUCACCCCUGGGAGAAAGAUUUAUUAAGCUUACUAAGAACUUAUUCCCUCAACUCAAUUAAUACAGGGUAAAGAUGUGUCUUAGACUUCAUAUCUACCACUAAACACGACAUAGAUUUAUGAUAAACUAUGACUCCCCCUUUUGGAGAAACUUCUAACCGAACACCCAACCUAGCCAAUCUAUGAACAUCUUUCAUUAGCUCUUUCUUACCCUCUUCUACAUUAGCAAUACUACUCAUUGGCAUUUAACAUACAACAUCCUUCACAACAUUAUCUUUUAUGAGAUGGUAGAGAACACUCAUGUCGUAAUCCUUGAAGAAUUCCAACCACCUUGCUUGUCAGAGGUUAAACUCCUUUUGAGUGAAGACACAUCGAAAGAUCUUGUGGUCGGUGAAUACAUCAAUGUGUACACCUUAUAGAUAAUCCCUAUAUAUUUUUAGGCAAACCCUACAACAUUUAAUUAAAGAUCAUGAGUUGGGGAGUUUUUGUCAUGUACCUUGAGUUGUCUAGAUGCAUAUGAUAUUACCUUGCCACGUUGCAUGGGGACACAACCCAAGACCACUCGAGAAGCAUCACAAUAUAAGACAAACCCUUUCAUGCCCUUUUGUAAGCCCAAUACUAUAGAAGACGUAAGUUUAUCUUUCAACCAUAAAAAAUUCUUCUCACAAUUUUUCAACCAUACAAACUUACACUUCUUUAGAGUAAAGGUCGUAAAUGGAGAAGCGACGAAUGAAAAUCCCUCAACAAACAUCUAAUAAUACACAGCCUAACCCUAAAAGGUUUGAAGGCCGGUAGGCUCAAAGGUUUAGACCAACUCUUGACCGCUUCCAUUUUCCUUGGAUCUAGCCUUACCCCUUUACUAGACAAAAUAUGACCAAUAAAAGCAACUGAGCUCAACUUAAACUCGCACUUACAAUACAUGGCAUAGAGUUGGCCAUCCUUGCGGACUUGAAAAACUAUUAUUAAAUUGUUCACAUGGUCACCCUCCUUUUUACAGUAUAUCUAGAUGUCAUCAAUAAAGACAAUCACCGACAAAUAAAUAUAGUUACGAAAGACUCGAUUCGUAAGGUCCAUUAAAGCAUCAAGGGCAUUUGUUAGACAAAAAGACAUGACUUGGAAUCCUAAAUGACCAUACCUAGUACAAAGAGUCAUUUUAGGUAUGUCAACUUCUCUUACUCUCAAUUGAUUAUAUUCAUACCUCAAAUUGAUUUUUUAAAUGUUUAUAAAACCUUGGAGUUGAUAAAAUAAAUCGUCGAUCCUAGGUAGAGGGCGCUUGUUCUUUAUGGUGACCUAGUUGUCGGUAAUCAAUGUACACCCUAACGGACGUAUCCUUCUUUUUCACAAACAACACCGGAGCAUCCUAUGGUAAAAUACUUGGUUUUAUGAACCUUUGUCUAGUAAAUGAUUGAGUUGAACCUUUAAAUCCUUUAAAUCGACCGAGGCCAUCUUGUAAGGAGGAAUUGAGAGAGAUUGUGUAUCAAGAAAUAAAUCUAUGAAGAAGUCAAAUUUCUGUUUGCAAGGAAUAUUAUCAAUACAACACGUAAGACAAUAUCCCAAAAUAUCUUAAACUCAAAAGGAGGCAUGACCUAAGAACUUCCUAGGGUCUAUUUGUGAAAUGUACACUUAGCAUCCCAUACUACCAACCCUACCAAGAAUUCCCAUAGAAACCACCUUGGCCACACUUAUUACAUUUACAUUUAUCACAUAUCAAUAAUCGUAAGUGAAAUACGUACAUCAUGAGAAACGUUUGGAUAAAAGGAUAUGUUCACUUCAUUUAAUAUCAACACAACUUACAUAUUCUCAUAAUACUUCAUGACGACAAAUAACUCCCUACGACUUCCCUCAAAGUUCACUAGUGCAAUGAACAAAUGAAGUCCCAUACACCAACUUGAACAUAGUCCACUUAUUAGGAUAUCAUAGGCUAGGUCAUACUUUGUGUGAUACUUUAUUAUUCAGGAAAGAUCUAACAUAAACCACAGAUCAUGAUAUCUUUCAUGGAAUAUGGUGUCUUAGAGCCCCACACAGAAAAAGGGUGUUCUACUUAGUCAAACUUAGAUACUAGCUACUAUGUUUAUCCACUAGCUAUGUUUUAUGGGGGCACAUAAUACAGGGAUUGGGAGAUAACUUCUAAGAGUUCUACCUAAUGCAUUAGCGGAGGAGUCCCUUUCUCAUGAGUAUAACUAGGAUGACCCAACCUCUUCAAUUAGUUGAAGGGUGUUUUCGUCAUAUUUCAUAUCCUAUCGGUGCUUAGUAUACUUUCCCAACAUUAAUAACAUUGUGUAGUUGUAUCUACAUGUGUGAAGAGUAAUCCAUAUUUUUUCAAUACAAUUCUCUAUGUCAAUUUCUUUAUAGCUAUAGUCAUUACUGUCUAUUACAGUAAUCAUUUUUUUGAAAGGAUUUUCUAACUUUUUUUUUUUAUCAAUUUUAUUUCUUGCUGUUACUUUAUGUUUUGUUGUUAAUAUGUAUAGGUUUUUACAUCUUGCUGUAAAUAUUUUGUUGCCUGGUGCUAUUUCUAUUCCAUACAUUUUCCAAUAUAAAACUAAUGAUUUACCUCUAUUCCUAACUGUUAAUGCUAAUGAGUAGUUAGCACUUAUUAUAAAUUUAAAUUUUUGGUAUAUUAAGUUUCCUUUUAUUGCACAAAUUACGGUUUUUUGUAUAGGAUGUAUAAUUCUAUCAUCUGCUAUGUAUAUUUCAACAGGUGUAUCUAUUCCUUCUCUAAAACAAGCUUUUAUUAAUAUUUUUGUUCCUCUUAAAUGUACAUAUUUUGUAGGUGUUUUAGUUUUUAUAUCUUGUAUCUCUUUAUUAAUUAUCCUCUUCUUCAGUAUAGGUAUUUGUGCUUUUCCUUUUGUAUAUUUACAAUCUAUGAUGUGUUCUUUCUGACUAACUACAUAGUAUUCAUCUUUUUGCCUUUUAAACCAAUUUCUUAUUAUAGGUAUUUCAAGUAUUUUUUCAACACGUAAGUCUAAUUCUUUUCCUAUUAUUUGUUCAAAAAUUAUAUUAUCAAAUACAAUUUUUUGGUCAGAUAAUUCUUCAUUUUGAUAGUCUUCUCUGGAUAUUAUUUUUAUAUUGUGUUCAGACAUUAAAUUUCUUCGUCCAUUAGUUCAUUAUCCAAAUUAAUAUUUUCUUCUUCAUUUUCAGUUUCUAUAUUUGAUACUUCAUAUAUACUAUCAUUUUCACUUAAUUCAUAGUCUAUAUAUUCUAUUUGCACGUAUUCGUCAUUAUCAACAAUUACUUGUGCAAUUUGUUAUCUAUGUGUCUUAUCUUCCCCAAUUGUGACAAGUACAUUGUGAUGGCUUUCUUUUUGGUCUAUAUGGUCUCUUUAUUUUAUAGUUUUUUACAUAAUAUCUCCGUCUUGGUUUUUGAUAUUUAUACCUGGUUUUAGUUUUUCUAUAAUUUUUAUAUCACCUAGGUUUUUGCUUAUUAUAAUAUUUAUUUGUACAUCCAAACUGUGGUGCUGUUUUAUUUUUAUAACAGGCUAAAUUCUUAAUUAAUAUUUUCUCCAAUUUUAAUUUUUCUUUUUGGUUUUCACAUAGUUGUACAAACCAUUGAUGUAAAAAUUUUAUUCUAGUUCCUAAAGUAUCUUCUAACCCUUCAUCAGUCCAAUCUUUAAUUAUUUUUGUGCUAAAUAGUUCUGGUAAUUUCGUAAAAUAUUGCUAUCUUAUUUUUUUUGCUUUAUUUAUAUUGUAUUUUGCUUUGUAAUAAUAUUCUUUAAAUUCACAUGUGUAUUCUUCUAUGUAACACAUUUUACAUAUAGCUAAUUUUGUCAUAAGUUGUCUAUUUAUUGUUUUUUCUCUAUCUUGUUCUCUUAUAUCUGUAGCCAUACAACCAAAUUCAUUUCUUAUUGCUAAUUCAUAUUUAUCUAGUAUAUGUAUAUUUGUUUUUGAUGGAUAUCCAUCUAUUUUUUUAUCACUUCUAAGUGUUUCUAAACUUUCUGGGGGUAGAUUUUCUAUCCAUAAUUUUGUUGUUCCUACAAAUGUUCUUUCUAUUUAUCUUGGCGUUGCUCUAGUUGUUAUUUUAUUAUCAAUUAGUUGUUUAAAGUAUUUAUUAUCCAUAGUAAUAUUGCUUUAUUUAUAUCUGUAACACGAUCUAAAUCUAAAAAAUUAUAUUGUUCAGUUAUUGGCUUAGGUGUCCAAUUUUAUCUGCUAUUCUAUAUUGCCUUUGUUCUAUCUUAUUGUUCAUAAUUUUCUGUAUAAUAUGUUGGUGGUGUCCAUUUAGGACUAGUUCUAGGACUAUUAUCCGGGGUUUUAACUCCUGAUGUGCUAAGUCGAUUCAUAUCUCCUGUGUUUAUUUCUAAUUUUUUCAGUUUAUUUACUUGUUCAAAAAUUUGUGUGUAUGUUUCACUUAAAUCACUUAUUUCUGAGUUUUGAUCACUUAUUGUAUCCGAUUUAUUUUCAUCUAUUUCAUUUACUUCAAGAUUUUCCUUUAAUUUUUGUCUCAUCUCAUUUAUUUCAUUUGUUAAUUUGAGCUCUGUAUCUAUCUGUUUCUCUUUUUGUUUAGUUUCAUAUAAUAAUUUUAACUUAGCUAAUCCUUUUUCUAAUUUACUUAUUCUUAUAUUUUUUAUUUCUUCUAGAUGGUGUACUUCUUGCUUUGCUUGUAUUUUUAUCUUUUCAAUUUCUUUUGAUUUUUCUAUUUCUUCAUUUUCUCUUGUUAUUCUUAUCAUAGCUGUUAGACUAUCUUCUAAUUUUGUUGUUUCUUUUUCUAACAUUAAAUAUAAGUUAUUUUCUAUGUUUUUAUAUCUUCUUCCUAAAUUUGAAAAUAUAAUUUUUAUUGUUAAUCUGUCUUGGUUUUCAUAUGUUUUUUCGUCUAUUGCAAAUUCUUCUUUAUUCAUUAUAAUUUAUGAAUUAUAUUGUCUUGUAACCUAUAUUCAAUGCAAUCUAUUUGUAUUUCUAACAUAAAUAUAACUUUUCUUUGUGCUAAUAUUAAUUUUUUACAUACUCCUGCCAACAUAUUUUCUUUUAAUCUUUCUUUCCUAUGUUGUAGUUCUUGUCUUUUUUCAUCUAUUUUUUCUAUAUGUUGUUGCUUAUAUAUUUCUUUGUUCAUAUUAUUUUUUCAAAUAAUAAACAUAUUUAUAUUCUGUUUUUGAAAUUAUGUGUAUCAAAUGAUUUGUCUUAUCAUUACUUAUUUUAAUAAGUUUUGAUAGUUCAUAUUCUAUGUAUAAAGGUUUUAAUUUUUUCUAUGUCUUUCAUACUUUUCUUUCUAUGUUGGUUUUGGUUUUAAGUUUCCUUAAUUGAUGUUGUAUUACUCUUCAUGUUUUUAAUAAAAUAUUUUUUCAUAAUAUUCUUUUUUAAGUAGAUCUAAUCGUUGUAUUUCAUUUGCGUUAUUUGCAAUAUAUUCUAAGCAUUCAUUUUCUCGAGUUCUUAGAUACAUAUACAAAUUAUCAAUUAAUAAUUUUUCAAGCUGAUCUAUGUUUUCUUUAGUUUCUUUCCAAUAUUGUAAGUACAUGUAAUUUAUCAUUGAUCUCUAAAUAUUUCUAGAUCAUCAUAUAAGUGUAUAUAAAUUAUUAUCAUAAAAAUCAUCUUGUAUAACUAAUUCAACCCAACCUUUAAUUGUUUCUUCUAUUACUUCAUAUGUUAAUAAUAUAUCAUAAAUUAUUCUUUUUAUAUUUGUAUUAAGACCCUUUAAUAUAUAGAGUAAUAAUAUCUUAUGUCGGCCAAAGAUAAGGUGGCCAUAUGUAAAAAGUAAUAUAAAUAUGUUUAUUAUUUGAAAAACAAUAUGAACAAAGAAAUAUAUAAGCAACAACUCAUAGAAAAAAUAGAUGAAAAAAGACAAGAACUAGAACAUAGGAAAGAAAGAUUAAACAGAAAAUAUGUUGGCAGGAGUAUGUAAAAAUUCAAUAAUAGCACAAAGAAAAGUUAUUUUUAUGUUAAAAAUACAAAUAGAUUGCCUUGAAUAUAGGUUACAACACAAUAUAAUUCAUAAAUUAUAAUGAAUAAAGAAGAAUUUGCAGUAGACGAAAAAACAUAUGAAAACCAAGACGGAUUAACAAUAAAAACAAUAUUUUUAAAUUUAGGAAGAAGAUAUAAAAAAAUAGGAAAUAACUUAUAUUUAAUGUUAGAAAAGGAAACAGCAAAAUUAGAAGAUAGUCUAACAACUAUGAUAAGAAUAACAAGAGAAAAUGAAGAAAUAGAAAAAUCACAAGAAAUUGAAAGGAUAAAAAUGCAAGCAAAGCAAGAAGUACAACAUCUAGAAGAAAUAAAAAAUACAAGAAUAAGAGAAUUAGAAAAAGAAUUAGCUAAGUUAAAAUCAUAAUAUGAAAGUAAACAAAAGGAGAAACAGAUAGAUAAAGAGCUCGAAUUAAGAAUUGAAAAUAAAUGAGAUGAGACAAAAAUUAAAGGAAAAUUUUUAAGUAAAUGAAAUAGACGAAAAUAAAUUGGAUACAAUAAAUGAUCAAAACUCAGAAAUAAGUGAUAUAAGUGAAACAUACACAGAAAUUUUAGAACAAGUAAAUAAACAAAAAAUUUAGAAAUAAAUGAAGGAGAUAUGAAUCGACCUAGCACAUCAAGAGUUAAAACCCUGGAUAGUAGUCCUAGAGCUAGUCCUAAAUGGACACCACCAACAAAUUAUACAGAAAAUUAUGAGAAAUCAGAUAGAAUAAACGCAAUAUGGAAUAGCAGAUUAAAUAAAAAAUGGACACCUAAGCCAAUAACUGAACAAUAUAAUUUUUUAGAUUUAGAUUGUGUUACAGAUAUAAAUAAAGAAAUAUUACUAUGGAUAGGAAAUACAUCUAAACAACGAAUUAAUAAUAAAAUAAUAACUACAGAAAUGACAAGAUAUAUGGAAAGAACAUUUGUAGGAACAACAAAAUUAUGGAUAGAAAAUCUACCCCCAGAAAGUUUAGAAACACUUAGAAGUGAUAAAAAAAAUUGAUGGAUGGCCAAGACACUACACUAUUUUAGGUCUACGACCACACUUAUUCUGGGCUACACUUUUAAAGUGUUGCGUAAAGUAGUUUUGGGAACACUUUUAAAGCGUAGCAAAAAAUUUUCACUUUUAGCUACAAUAAUUUUGGCAACACUUCAAAAGUGUACUCUUUAAUAAUAUAAGAUACACUUUAUAAGUGUUGUUAAAGUAUGAUAUAAUUGGCAACACCUAUUUACAUAUAUGACCACACUUCUAAAAUGUCCUAUUUUUAUAAUUAAAAAAACAACACUUUAUAAGUGUUGCCUUAAAAUUUAUCACUAAAAUUUUAUAUUCCCUCCAAUAUUUUUAACGUUCCCUCCGAUUUUUAUUGUCCAAAAAAAUUAAACAUUAACAAAACAUUUUGACUUCACUUUCCUCUUUCAGCUUUCCUUUUCACGUUUCCCUCUUUCAGCUUUCCUCUUUCAGCCAGCUUUCCUCUUUCAGCUUUCCUCUUUCAGCUUUCCCUUUCACGUUUCUCUUUUCAGCAGAAGAAUUAGCUGAACAACUACAGCUUCCUAUACAAGCUGAAGAACUAAAUGUUCAAAGUGAAGAGAGGUGAAGAUAGCAGAAUAAGUAGUUCUCUUUUCUAAUACAAGCUGAAGAUUCGAUGAACUGAGCUGACGAGUUGAACGAUUCCUUUAAGAGUAAGAAUGAUUUAUUUAAGAGUAAUAAUGAUUUUAUUUUCCGAAACAUAUUUGAUUUUUCCGAAACUUAGUUGAUUUUUGGAGUGUAGCUCGUAAACGUUUAGAUUUUCCUUUGAUUUUCAUGUUAAUUUCUGCAGAUGCUUAAGAUUUUCCUUGUUCUUAUUCUGAUUGAUGGUACUGUUGCUUGUCCAUGUUUAAGACCUUUCUUGAUAUAAUGUUUGUUUUUAUCUAUGGUUGCUAAUUUUUUUACUGUGCUUGUAUGAAUCUUUGUUUGUUCAUUUGUUAAUCACAAUAAUUUUGUCUUGUCUCUGUUUGUUGGAACAAUUUUUUUGUUUUCGACUGUAUGUCUUGAAUAGUGAAGAAGUCAUUAUGUUGUUUCUCCAGUGCAUUUUCAAGUAUAGAUAGUAACUUUAGUAUUCCGAAAUGUUUAUGGAUAACCUCGUAGUAUGAAGUUGUUAGAAUAAUUUCAUAAUAUUUGAGACAUAGCGAGUCAGUCUCUAAAAUGGCAUUUGUUAUCCCACACCUCUUGCAAUAACUUACUGCUUUCCAAAUUGCUGUGGUUUCUGCUUCAAUAUUUGUUGUGUUGCCUAUGCCUUGUGUUUCAGCAUAUACUAGAUUUCCUUGGAUUCCUAUUAUACAAAAUCCGUAAGAGUUCUCUCCUGGGUUGACUUUGCUAGAGCCACUCGAUCUCUCUUAGGUUGCCUUGGGGUGGUAACACGAGAUCUAUGAUCUUGAUUCACUUUUCAACAUUUCCAAUUGAUUGCACUCACCGAAAGGGUGGGUACUGGGAUUACUUCUCUGAACUUCAUGACGAACCUGCAGGACGGACCGUCAUAGACUCGACAGACCGUCGUGGACUCCGUAACCCCACACUUGACUUACCCAUCUUCCUUCAGCAGUUGUACUACGCUGCCACCUACGGACAGUCACAAGCAUGACGGUCUGUCGAGGGUCUUUAUUCAAAAACACUUAAGCUCUUGGAAUAUGGGUACUGGCAUUACUUCUCUGAACUUCAUGACGAACCUACAGGACGGACCGUCACACACUCGACAGACCGUCGUGGUCUCCAUAACCCCGCACUUAGUCUUAGUCAAACUUCCUCAUCUUCCUUCAACAACUGCACUACGGUGCAAUCUACGGACCGUCACAAGCACGACGGACCGUCACAAGCUCUGUAGGUGGUCUCUUCUACAUUUUCCGCUCAAAAUCUCCGCAUUUAUUUAUGGACAGAUUUAUGUAUAUCCCAUUAAAUGUAUUUAUUUUUUCAUUUAUAGUAACAUCAACAUUGAAAAACAUUUGUGGAGGAUUAAAGGUUUGAUUUGACAUAGAGAAGCCUCAUGACUAGGUAAGAAACUUUUAUCAGCUCAUAACACAUGAUUCUGAUAGAUUUCUCGUGACUUUUAAAACUUACUUUUUAACUGAUUAAUGAUUAUUGCUGAAAGACUAAAUAUUGAUAUAUUCUUCUAGGAGUUCACAUAUCCCAUCCAACGAUUGGAUGAAUUUAUCAAGGUAUAGCAAAGAGUAUAUUGAUGGCAUUGAAUCAUUUCUAGAUUUUGCUUACUCUUAUGGAGAUUCUCAUGGAGAGAAAAUUCAGUGUCCAUAUGCGAAAUUGUAACGACCUGUUUAGUCAUUUUGAGCAGCAGACUUUAUUUCUGGAAAAACUGGCAGAAGCGAUGGACCCCACGACGGACCGUCAUGGGCACGACGGAACGUCACAGGGUCUCAUUUCAAAACACUUAGAUAAUCUGAAAUUGGGUACUAAAAAUUGACUCUCUGAACUUUGUGACGGAAUGGCAGGACGGACCUUCACAGGUGUGACGGACCGUCACAGACCCUUGGUGGAAAUUUGGGUCUCUGAACUCUGCGACGACCUGCAGGACGGACCGUCGUAGGCACGACGACCUGCAGGACGGACCGUCGUAGGCACGACGGCCCGUCAUAGGUUGCGCAAAUCCCAGGCAGGAUCGGAUUUCUGGUUAAGUUUUAAGGGACGUUUUUGACUAUUCUUGCCUUAAUUAUAAAGUUCGUGGGUUUAUAUUAAUAACUCAAAUUCUUGGGGGUUAAAAGAGGUAACCCUAAGUUAAUUAGUGGGGUAUUAUUGCGAUCUUUUAUUCUUAAUUAUAUACUAAUUAGGGUAAAAGAAAGAGGGUUUGAAUAAGAAAAUAGAAAGAACAAGAAGGGAGAGAGAGAAACGAUCGAGAAGAAGGGGAAAACACAAAGCUUUGAGGAUUAACUUGCUUGAUUUCAAUUCUUCAGUGGAGGUAGGUUAUGGUUUUCAUGCUUUCAUAAGUAAGCUCUUAAUAGUGAAUGAUAUGUAUUGGUAGUAUUGUAAACCCUACUAUAUGCUUAAUGGUAUGUUUGCAUGAAUAUGAUUGUGUGAUUGUGAUAAGAUAAGCAUGAUGAAAAUAUUGAAUCCCAAAUCUUGAAAAGAAACUUUAAUAUACAUUAUUAAUGAUGAUGCCUUGGUAUAGAAGAAGGCUUGAUGAAUUAAAGUAAUGGGAUUGAUGAUGCCUUGGUAUAGAGAAGGCUUGAUGAUUUACAGAAUGAUAUUAGUGGAUCGGAGUGUCACGUUCCGACACAUAGUAUUAGUGGAUCGGAGUGUCACGUUCCGACACAUAGUCUUAGUGGAUCGGAGUGUCACGUACCGACACAUAGUAUUAGUGGAUCGGAGUGUCACGUUCCGACACAUAGAAUUAGGGGAUCGGAGUGUCACGUACCGACACAUGUAGGGGAUCAUAGUGUCACGUUCCGACACAUGUAGGGGAUCAGAGUGUCACGUACCGACACAUGUAGGGGAUCGGAGUGUCACGUUCCGACACAUAGAAUUAGGGGAUCGGAGUGUCACGUACCGACACAUAGUAGUAGGGGAUCGGAGUGUCACGUACCGACACAAGAGGAAGAAAGAUAAUGAAUCUUGGAAGAUGAUAAUAUACUCAAUUUAAUAAAACUUAAUUCCCAAAUGAGUAUGGUGUUGAGGCUUGAGCCCUCAUGGAUGAACUUGAUGGUACUUACUGAUGAUUAUAGUACUUGUUGUUGCUACAUGUUGAGUUUUAUAGUUGAUUUAUGAUAUUACUUGAUAUAUACUGUUCUCUAUUUUGAGUUGACCGAUGAUAUCUACUCAGUACCCGUGGGUUGUACUGACCCCUACUUUUAUGUUUUUCUUCUUGUUAUUUGUGGAGUGCAGCAAACGUGCCGUCAUCUUCGACUCAACAGUAACUCAAGCCAGUCUUCGUCACAUCGGAUCGUCAGGGUGAGCUAACGCUUCUAGCUUGGACUGGAUCUUCUCCUUCAUGUCUUGAUGCCUUGAACUUCCGACAUGGACUAGCUUCUUAUGUAUUUUUUUGCUUCUUAGAAACUCUUAGAAUUAGUAGUUUAAAGUAGAUGUUCUUGUGAUGAUGACUUCCAGUUUCUGGGGAUAAUGAUAGGUCUUUGAGUUAUAGAAGUUGAUUAUUGAUUUUACUUAUGAGUUUAAGUCUUAUGCAUUACUUUCUGUUUAUAUUAUAUUGAAAUGUUAAGGUUUAGGUUGGUUGGUUCGCUCACAUAGGAGGGUAAGUGUGGGUGCCAGUCGCAACCCGGUUUGGGUCGUGACAGAAAUGUUGUAAUAUUCUUUGGAACCGAAGGAAUGUAGUGUAUGAUAAUCUAAUAUGCCAUGGAUUCGUUAAAGGCUAUACUAGAUGGAUCAAUCACGGGGAAUGGAACAUCAAGUUGAUUGUUGAUGAUGAUAUGGAUUACUCGUGUGAUGAUAUUGAUGGGUUGUUGAAUGAUCAAUUUAGAGAUGUUGCACAGGCUGCAGGAUUUUAUGAUGGUCCAAAUGAAGAUGCCAAGAAACUCUAUAGCAUACUUGAAGAGUCAAACCAAAAAUUAUAUUCUGGUUGUAUAGGUUUCUCUAAAUUAUCAUUCACACUGCGCUUAUAUUUGUUGAAGUAUUUACACGGAUGGUGCAAUGAAUCAUUCAGUUUUCUUCUAGAGUUAUUAAAAGAGGCGAUGCCCGAGUUGAACAUUCCUCAGUCUUACAAUAAAACCAAGUCUAUGGUUAAGAAUAUUUGUCUGGAUUAUGAUAAAAUUGAUGCAUGUCCAAAUGAUUGCAUAUUGUUCAGGAAUGGUCAUAAGGAUGACGAAUUUUGUCAUACUUGUGGAGAUUCACGAUAUAUUCAAGCUCCUAAAUCUGAUAGUGAGCUUGAGUCUUCAAAAAAACAACAUCGAGUUUCUUCAAUGACUUUGAGACACUUUCCAUUAAUUCGUAGACUCAAAAGGCUAUUUAUGUGCACAAAGAUGGCUGAUUCUUUGAGGUGGGAUGAAGAGGAACGUUCUAAAGAUGGAAAGUUAAGGCAUCCCACUAAUGGUCUAGCAUGGAAAGACUUUGAUAGGGUGCAUCCAGAUUUCGCAGAAGAUUGUCGCAAUGUGAGACUUGCCUUGUCAAGUGAUGAAUUCAAUCCAUUUCGAACCAUGAGUAUAUCAUAUAGCACACGGCCAGUUAUGUUGAUAAUUUAUAAUCUGCCGCCUUUGAUGGGCAUGAAAUCUGAAUAUUCUAUACUUUCUUUACUUAUACCUGGACCGCAAUCACCUAGAAAUGACAUUGAUAUUUACAUACAACCAUAUAUAGACGAGUUAAAAUUAUUAUGGGAUUCUGGGGUUGUAACAUAUGAUGCUUCCAUAAAUGAAACUUUUCAAAUGUGGGCAGCUGUUAAGUGCACAAUCAGUAGUUUUCCUGCAUAUACUAUGUUAUCUGGUUCGAGUACAAAAGGAAAGUUUUCUUGCCCUUGUUGUAACUAUGGCACUAAUUCUCGCUAUCUUAAACAUAGUUGGAAAAUGUGCUAUAUGGAUCAUCGUGUUUUUCUACCAAUGGAUAAUCCAUGGAGAUCAAACAAAAGAUCAUUCAAUGGAAAAACUGAAUUUAGGCCUCCUCCAGCUCCUUUAAAGGGAAUUGAUGUUCUUAAUAGCUUACGUGAUUUUGAAAAUGUGUUUGGGAAGAAGAAAAAGAGAUCAAAUGAUGGCCCAUGGGAAAAAAGGUCAAUUUUUUUGAAUUAGCUUACUUGAAGUACAACUUGUUACGUCACAACCUUGACGUAAUGCACAUAGAGAAGAACAUAGUUGAUAGCAUACUUGGAACUCUUUUAAAUAUAUCAGGAAAAAUAUAGGAUCAUGCAAAAGCACGGUAUAAUUUGAAAGAUAUGGGAAUCAGGAUGAACCUUCAUCCACAAGAUACAGAAGAUAGUAAGAGAACAAAGUUUACAAAGGCGUGCUUCUCAAUGACAAAUGGAGAGAAAUCCAUCUUUUGUGGAGUUUAAAAGACAGCCAAGCUACCUGAUGGUAGUGCCUCCAAUACAUCUAGGUGUGUGCACUUGGAUGAAAGAAAGGUGUCUAAUUAUAAAACCCAUGAUGCUCAUUUCAUGUUACAUUACAUGCUUCCAAUACCAAUUAAAAGCAUUCUUCCUGAUCAUGUUGCUAUUACUUUGAUUCGUCUAAGUUCUUUCUUCAAUCGUUUGUGCCAAAAAGUAAUCACAUUUGAGGAACUUGAUUGCUUAAAAGUAGAGAUCAUAGAAACAGUAAAUCAGUUGGAGCGAAUUUUUCCUCCUUCUUUUUUUGAUAUCACGAUUCAUUUGCCUAUUCAUUUGGUGAAUGAAGUGAGAUUAGGCGGCCCAGUGCAAAAUCGAUGGAUGUAUUCCACUGUAAGAGAAAUGGGUAUAUUCAAAUCAUACAUUCGCAAUAGGCGUUUUCAAGAAGGUUGCAUAGCAGAGACACAAGUGGGCAUAGAUUGCAUGAAUUUAUUCUCAAAAUAUCUGCAUCGGGGUGUGCAUACAAGAUUUAAUAGGAGAGCGUGAAACAAUGAUGAAUGUGACCCAAGUGACGCAGAACUUGUGAGUUUGUUUUCUAACAAAGGAGUUCCUUUAGGAGCAAAGAAAACUGAUAGAAUCAUUUUAGAUGACCAGUCACUAUGUCAGGCACAUGCAUACUUAUUGGGAAAUUGUGAUGAUAUUCAAGAAUAUAUUAGGUACCUUUAUUUGAAUAUACCAUUCCUUUUGUAUAAUUAAUUUUUAUCUUAUUUAAUUUAUUAUUUUAACAAAUAUAGUAAAAGUUUUGUAGAGAGCAUGAGCAAGAGGUUAAUAAUCAGUCAUGAACAUCUAUAUGGAGCAAAGCAAAGAAUCAUUGUCAAAACUUCUCUCAAUGGUUUGAAACUUGUGCUUUGCAAGAGGAUGUGCCUGAUUUGAUAAAACAAUUGUCUAGAGGACCUAAUUCUGUUGCAAAAAGAUAUUUUGGGUAUUUCAUAAAUGGAUAUAGAUUCCAUGUUAGGAAGCAUGAUGCAAGGCGUAAAACACAAAAUAGUGGUGUUGCACUAAUUGCCUCAACUACAAGCUUUGCAAGCUCAAAGGAUAAAAAUCCGAUCGCUACAGAUUUGACUUAUCAUGGUAGAAUAGUUGAUAUUGUUGUAUUAAACUAUUACAACCAUUUUAAGGUUUUUUUAUUUAAGUGUGAUUGGUAUGAGUCUGAAAAAGAUGUUUAUGGCCUUACUUAUGUCUACUUUAAAAAGAGAUGCUCUCAGGAAGAGCCUUUUGUGCUUGCAUCUCAAGUACACCAAUGCUUCUAUGUGCAAGAUUCAUAUGAUCAAGAUAAACAUUAUGUUAUGAAGACUGUUCCAAGAUACAUGUUUAACAUGGGUGAUGAAGUUGAAUCUAAUCUCCCACAAAGUUAUGAAAAUGAGCCAGCUGAACAUUUGAAUGGUCAAUUUAUGCCAAAAGAUAAUGGUGAAGUACUCUUAACAAGGACUGAUUUACCAGAAACUAUCAUUUAUGUGCCUGUGGAGAAUUUGUCAAUCAACAAGUUGAAGUCGAGUAUGAAGAGGAGUUUGAAGAUGAGUUCGAAGAUGAGUAUAAAGAUAAGUUUUCAGAUGCAUUUGAAGACUAGUCUGAAGAUGAGUCUGAUGAUGAAGUCGAGUCUGAAGAAGUGUCUCAAUAAGACACACCAUGAGUUUCAUUAUUGUUGUGAUGAUCAAAUAGUGGUCACUCACUUUUUUUGUAAUAUAAUUUUUUUUGUAAAAUACAUUAAUAUAUCUAAUUUGUGGAAUGUAAUAUGUUGCCUUCUUAUCUGAUAAUUAUUUUAUUGAGGAACGUAUACUUCUAGUUUAUUUUUGCUUGAUUUGGUUGUUUGUUAUUUAUAUACUUUCUGGUUUCAUUUUAUUAUCGGGCAGUUGGCAUUAGAGGCAUUCAACUCUGUAUUUUGAAGUUGCUUCUGGUUUGGUCGUUGUCCUGAGUUUGUCGCUCCGAGAGAGGUACAAAUCUUUACCUUUUAUUAAUGAAAGUAAUAAGAAGCUCUCAAGUUUUAAAAUGUGGAUGCAGCCAACGACCUCUUGUUUCAUAUGUUAUCAAUUUUUUCUUUUUGUUCAUGUAGUUCUUCCAAUUUAAUUCUGCCCUGCUACUUCUUUCACUUAAACAAUAUUAUUAUUUUGUAGGUUUACAUACUAUUGGGAAACAAAUUGAAGAGAUUUAAACUAAGCAAAAACAAUGAACCAAUCAACAAUGCUAAAGAAAAAGGGUUUGAAUCAAAACAAAGCUCAAAGUCCAUUGAAGAAUCUGGAUGUUAAUAUGCAAUACCGAUCAAGUGCUGAAUUGGCCAACAAAUUCAAAAUUAAGAGAGAACAACUUGCAAAUGAACACAAUGAUAAAGCUAAGAAAGAGCAGGCACCAAUAUCACAUAAAAGAAAGAAUUUUGAGGAUUUCAUUCCACAACAAGGAAAGAGGAAAUUGACAUUGAUUGUAGUACAAAAGGUAUGUUUUAAACCUUGUAAGAUUUAGAACUCAUUAUAAAAGAAAUAUCUUAUUUCAUGUCUGUUACAUCAAUCUAGAAAUGUCGAAGCCAAAAAAAGGUCGAGGACAUACAACAUGUAAUGAUAUUCAUGCAAGAAAUUUGGAAGAAAGAAAAGAGGUAAUAUUUGAUAAAGGAUAAGCGGUGGGACCAACUAAUAAGAUAGUGACACAAUUAAGCAACUUUAUAGGAACAAUUGCAAGGAAUCCAAGAUUCAUUAGCUUGAUGUACACUAGUUGGCAUGUGGUGCCAUAUGAUACUAAAAAGCGCAUGUGGGAAUACGUCAAUGUAAAAACAACCACUUUUGAGAAUUCAUAUUUUUUUAUUACAUACUGAAACUAAAUAUAUUUUAUUUUGCAUAGUCCAAAUUUCUUCUUCCAGUAGAAGGAAAGAAGUGGGUGAUGACUGGUUUUUGUGAUGCUUGGAGGCAGCACAAGCAAAUAAUUAAAAAAUUUUUUUUUGAUAAAAACAGUACCCUUGAGGGUAUGCUAGCAAAAUGUACUGAUGGCAUUCCACAUAAUCAAUUCCUCCAGUUGAUAGAGUAUUGGAAACACCCAACUGUUCAAGCAAGGUUAAAAUGGUGUAUUUCCACUCAUCGACUAAUUCUGUUUCAUGUCUCUUCUUUUUAUACAUAUCAAUUCAAUUAUCUCUUUGGUUUUAAUAAUAGGCUAUAUGUGAGAUGAAUUCUCAAAGCAGGAAAAAACAAAAGUGGAGGCAUCGAAUGGGUCCUAUUGAUUUUGCUAGAGUACGCGUGGCAUUGGUAAUACUUAGCUGACAUUUCAUAACAAAAUUGAUUUUCAUUUUUUUGUACUUUAUAAGAACUUACCGAUUUUUUAUAGCUUCUUUUGAUAUAAUCUGUAGCGUGCAUCCAAAGACAAUAACGAAGAACUACCAAAGCCUGAAAUAUUUAUUGCAACUCGUACCAAGACGGGAAAGGAAAUCCAGGCUGAUACCCAAAUUUCAAUAGUAAGUUUUUCAAAGAGAAUUAUUAGUGAACUUUAUUCAGACUUAACAUUUAUAUUGUGGGGAGUUUGACUACAUUAUAUUUUAAUCACGUAUGCCUUCUUCUUCUUCUUCUUCUUUUGUAAGUUCAAGGAGAUAUCAAUUAUUUGUCGACAUUGUUUAAUUAUUUUUUACGAAAAUUUUUCAUAUUGUUUUCAUGAUUCAUCACUAUAAUAAGAUUGGAAAUGAAAUAGUACUUACAAUUCACUAUGGAUGCCAAUUUUAUUCAAUAGGCUGAACUUCAGAAUUGCCUAAAUUCUUGGGAAACAGCUGAUGAUGCAUUUAGGGCAGUGUUCAAAAAGGAGCAGCCUGGUCAAGUUAGGUGCUAUGGUAGAUAACUGACAACAAGUUCUUUGAAGAAAGAUGAGGAAAUUAACAAUCUAAAACAAAAGCAUGCUGAUGAAAUCACUUCUCUAAAGGAAGAAUUGAGAGAAGAAAUGCGACAUUUAUUCAUUCAAUUGCUGCAAAACAACCCUGGAUUGAUUUUUCAAGAUAUACCAUGGUGUGUUGGAUCUAACCUUACUUCACCUAUUGAUGCAAGUAGUGCACAAGCUGUAAGAGGCACAAAUCUUCCAUUUUCUUCGGGGUCAGCUCAAGAUUCGGUUCUUCAAAAGGCAUUUUGUAUUUCAAAUUCUCUGUUAAUAGUGUCAAUAUUGUUUUUCUUCUAGUUUAGUUGGUGUUCUUGGUAAUGAAAUUCAAAACUUAUUUGUCCUUGUCUAAGUUUAGUCCACCAAUUUAUAACUGUUAAGGAUGUUUUUGUUUUUGGUUUAAGCAUUCGAAUCGUUAGUUGAAUAACUGUUCUUUUAGUAUUGUGCAAUUGAGGAGUCUGUGAUUAACACAUUAAUGUGCUGCAUCCUGUGAUUAAAAUGUCUAGGGUCUCCGUUCCAAAACACUUUAAUCUCCUUGAAUAUGGGUACUGGGAUUACUUCUCUGAACUUCAUGACGAACAUGCAAGACGGACUGUCACAGUCACGACGGACCAUCGUGGACUCCGUAACCCCACACUUAGUUAAACUCUUGGAAUAUGGGUAUUGGGUAUACUUCUCUGAACUUCAUGACGAACCUGCAGGACAGGCUGUCACAGUCACGAUGGACCGUCGUGGUCUCCGUAACCGCACACUUAGAUAAACUCUUGAAAUAUGGGUACUGGGAUUACUUUUUUGAACUUCAUGAAGAACCUGUAGGACGGACCGUCACCGUCACGACGGACCAUUGUGGUCGCCGUAACCCCACACUUGGUCAGACUUCCCCAUCUUCCUUCAGCAUCUAUACUAUGUUGCAGUUCAUUGAAAAUAUCAUGUUAUGUUGUUAUGUAUUGAUUUUUGUGGACACUUCUAAACUAUGUUAUGAAACCUGUUUCCAGUGGUCAUCACUUGUUUGUUUGAACUACUUGUGUGUAAUUUUUACAUUGAAGUUUACAACAGAAGACUGCACAAAUUAAACUUUUGAAGUUUAAUUUUUGAGAGCCAACAACAGAAGACUGCACAAAUGUUGUAGUCCUUAUAAUGUGUAAUUUUUACAUUGAAAUUGUAUUUAGAUUUGGAUUAGUUGUCUUACAGUGAAUUCUCUCUGAUUAUGCACUUCCACAAUUAAUUCACAAACUUUUAAUUUUAUUUUAAAUGUGCAGGAAAAUGCAGGUAAUUGAAUUUGAAUUUUUCCAGAAAUAAACUCGAUCCAUUAUGGCAAAAGAUGAAGAAAUUUCUGUAUUGUUGUCAUAUACGUUUGAAUGACACUUUUGGGUUUUUCGAACUUGUUGAUAUUAGAGAUCUUUAAGCAAUCACUUUCUAUUUUUUGGUUAUACAUGAAAUAUUUCUCGAAGUUUAUUUGAAAUAUUUAACUUCAAUUUAAUGAUUAAUUAGUUCAUUUUGUUUUUUAGGUCACUUGUAUGUAUGUAAAUAUAUUAUAUAUAUUUGUGCUACAUGUAGGCUUAUAAAUGUUGAAGUUACACUUUGUAAGUGUUGCUUUAGUUAGAUGUAAAGUUACACUUUGUAAGUGUUGCCAUAGAAGAGAUAUAAAAACAACACUUUAUAAGUGUUGCUAUAGAUGAGAUAUAAAGUAAUAAUUUUUAAGUGUUGCUAUAGCUAACAUAUAAAGUAACACCUUAUAAGUGUUGCAAUAGAUGAGAUAUAAAGUUACAAUUUUGUAAGUGUUGCUAUAGCUGACAUAUAAAGUAACACCUUAUAAGUGUUGCAAUAGAUGAGAUAUAAAGUUACACUUUAUAAAUGUUUCAAUAGAUGACCAAUAAAAGAAAACACUUUUUAAGUGUGCCCAAUAAAUCUGAAAAGGCAACGCUUUUAAGUGUAGUCUAACAAAAAAUAGGUGUUUCUAAUGAACGUCUUCAAAGCGUGCCGUUAUACCUAUUUGGCUACGCUUUAUAAGUGUUGCCAAAGAUGGCAACAUUUAAAAAGGGUUGCCUAAUGUCAAAGGUAACGCUUCUUUUGGGCAGCCCCUAAAAAGUGUUGCUGAACGUCCAAAAGUGUAGCCUUUUCUCAAAGGCCACACAUUUUGCUAGUUUAGGCUACAUUUACGUGGUGUUGCUGUAGGCCGAAAAUAGUAUAGUGAGAUGAUGGCGAAAUUGUAUCAAAGCA
rnacentral:lncRNA from 1 species